GGUCCGAUGGUGUAGUUGGUUUAUCACUGUCAGUCUAACACACUGAAGGUCCCCGGUUCAAGCUCGGGUCGAAUCA